CCUACGGGCGGCAGCAGUGGGGGAUAUUGCACAAUGGGGGGAACCCUGAUGCAGCGACGCCGCGUGAGUGAAGAAGUGCCUCGUCGUGUAAAGCUCUAUCAGCAGGGAAGAAAAUGACGGUACCUGAGUAAGAAGCCCCGGCUAACUACGUGCCAGCAGCCGCGGUAAUACGUAGGGGGCAAGCGUUAUCCGGAUUUACUGGGUGUAAAGGGAGCGUAGACGGCUGUGCAAGUCAGGAGUGAAAGGCCGGGGCUCAACCCCAGGACUGCUCUGGAAACUGUGCGGCUGGAGUGCAGGAGAGGUAGGCGGAAUUCCUGGUGUAGCGGUGAAAUGCGUAGAUAUCAGGAGGAACACCGGUGGCGAAGGCGGCAUACUGGACUGCAACUGACGUUGAGGCGCGAAAGCGUGGGGAGCAAACAGGAUUAGAUACCCCAGUAGUC
rnacentral:rRNA from 1 species